rnacentral:rRNA from 1 species
AUACGUAGGUGGCAAGCGUUGUCCGGAAUUAUUGGGCGUAAAGCGCGCGCAGGCGGUCCUUUAAGUCUGAUGUGAAAGCCCACGGCUCAACCGUGGAGGGUCAUUGGAAACUGGGGGACUUGAGUGCAGAAGAGGAAAGUGGAAUUCCAAGUGUAGCGGUGAAAUGCGUAUAGAUUUGGAGGAACACCAGUGGCGAAGGCGACUUGCUGGUCUUUAACUGACGCUGAGGCGCGAAAGCGUGGGGAGCAAACAGGAUUAGAGACCCUGGUAGUCCACGCCGUAAACGAUGAGUGCUAAGUGUUAGGGUGUUUCCGCCCCUUAGUGCUGCAGCUAACGCAUUAAGCACUCCGUCUGGGGAGUACGGUCGCAAGACUGAAACUCAAAUGAAUUGACGGGG